rnacentral:rRNA from 1 species
AGAUUGAACGCUGGCGGCAGGCCUAACACAUGCAAGUCGAGCGGUAGAGAGGUGCUUGCACCUCUUGAGAGCGGCGGACGGGUGAGUAAUGCCUAGGAAUCUGCCUAGUGGUGGGGGAUAACGUUCGGAAACGGACGCUAAUACCGCAUACGUCCUACGGGAGAAAGCGGGGGACCUUCGGGCCUCGCGCCAUUAGAUGAGCCUAGGUCGGAUUAGCUAGUUGGUGAGGUAAUGGCUCACCAAGGCGACGAUCCGUAACUGGUCUGAGAGGAUGAUCAGUCACACUGGAACUGAGACACGGUCCAGACUCCUACGGGAGGCAGCAGUGGGGAAUAUUGGACAAUGGGCGAAAGCCUGAUCCAGCCAUGCCGCGUGUGUGAAGAAGUCUCGGAUUGAAAGCACUUUAAGUGGAGAAGGUUGUAACUUAAUACGUUGCUAAUUUGACGUUACCGACAGAAUAAGCACCGUCUAACUUCGUGCCAGCAGCCGUA